AAUAACAACACUGGAAAUUUUAUUUCUAGUGAUUGGAAUGAUGGGAAUUUAAACCCCUUUCAGAGUAACAAUUGGAGGGCAAGUCUGGUGCCAGCAGCCGCGGUAAUUCCAGCUCCAAUAGCGUAUAUUAAAGUUGUUGCAGUUAAAAAGCUCGUAGUUGGAUGUCUGCUGGAAGCAAUCAGUCCGCCCUAUUUGUAGGGUGUGCACUUGAUGAAUUCUGGCAUCUAUGUCCCAAUAAUAUGAUGGUGUAUACCCUGUGUACACCCAUCUAUAUUGGGAUAAUACCGUUACUUUGAGAAAAUUAGAGUGUUUGAAGCAGGCUAAUUGCCUUGAAUACUGCAGCAUGGAAUAACAAUAUAGGAUUUCGGUUCUAUUUUGUUGGUUUCUAGGACUGAAAUAAUGAUUAAUAGGGACAGUUGGGGGCAUUCGUAUUUAACUGUCAGAGGUGAAAUUCUUAGAUUUGUUAAAGACGAACUACUGCGAAAGCAUUUGCCAAAGAUGUUUUCAUUAAUCAAGAACGAAAGUUAGGGGCUCGAAGACGAUCAGAUACCGUCGUAGUCUUAACCAUAAACUAUGCCGACUAGAGAUAG
rnacentral:rRNA from 1 species